CGACCGGCGCACGGGUGAGUAACGCGUAUGCAACCUGCCUGAUACCGGGGUAUAGCCCAUGGAAACGUGGAUUAACACCCCAUAGUACUUUUAUCCUGCAUGGGAUGUGAGUUAAAUGUUCAAGGUAUCGGAUGGGCAUGCGUCCUAUUAGUUAAUUGGCGGGGUAACAGCCCACCAAGACGAUGAUAGGUAGGGGUUCUGAGAGGAAGGUCCCCCACAUUGGAACUGAGACACGGUCCAA
rnacentral:rRNA from 1 species